GCUUAGAGAACACCAUCAUGUCUUGUGGGUAUCCCUCUCCCCUGUGCCUGUUUUGUUUUUUUUUCCUCUUCGCAGUAGUUGAUGGAGGCUUGACAGUCCUUGACCAUCUACUGUAAAGUGAAAGACGCGCAACCUGAAUCGCAAGUGAUAACAUAGCCAUAUUUCUCUGUCUAUCCAUGUAGACUGGCUGUGGGCAAUUUGCUUUCAUCGCCUUCAAAAUGGAAUCAUCACCCAGUGACGGUGAAGUAGCUGUUUUCGCAGACACGGACAUGGACACUCACAUUUCCAUGGGCGUCUCGCUUGAUAUCACUGUUACUGAUUUCAAGAGUAACUUUCUUUCUAUAUUUUUUCCCUGCCUCUCUUUUUUUAUUACUAACAUCCUCUCUUGAUUUUCAAGAACUCCAUUUUUUUUGUUGCCUUUCCUUGUUUGGUGCUUAACUUGAUAGGUUGUAUUGGGUUUUGUUUACCUUUGAAUUCUAAAGCACCCCCUUGUGAUUUUGCUGUAUUGAAUUGCGAUUGCUCACAUGUUUUAUUUAUAGCUUUUUUGGGGAGGAAAGCUGCUGCUAUUUCUUAUUAAUUGUAAAAGAAACAGAUUUGUCAGGUGAUAUCAUAGGACUACAGGAGGUUAGAUGGUGUUUGAUUAGAGUAAAUUUCAAUAGCUUUUUGUUUCAUUAAUGCUGAAG
rnacentral:lncRNA from 1 species